AUAGCGCGCGGCCCAGGCGCUGCUGCUGCAGCAGGAGCUGGCCCGGGGGCUCCCCGGCGCCGCCGUUUACAGGCGAGCGCAGGCCCAUGUUCUCGAAGUAGUGAGCCAGGAAGGCGAUCGGCUCCUCGGGCCGCGCCUCCAGCACCUUCAGCAGGGCCGCACGUAGCAUUUCCGUCACGCCGACCUGCCGCAGGAAGUCCUCCUCGCUCUCGGCCGCCCCCGCCGCCCGGGAUACCGACUGGCGGCCGCUGUCCGUGAAACCGGCCGGCGGUGGUACCGCUUGCCGCCGCUUCUCCACUGCCGCCAUCUUCGCUGAGGGCAGCGGGACCGGAAGCACCGCCAUAUUCCACUGUGCGCUAGAGCCCCCCCAAGGCGGCCAUCUUGAUUAAGGGCAGAGGGCACCGGUAUCCCGCUGGGAGACUUUGGGAAGUGACAAGGGCUUGCCUCUCCUGCCUCAAUCUCCGCAUCUGGAUGAAGGGCUUGGACCAGAACCCCUCCAAGCCCCUUCCCUGGACCACUCUGCUGGAGUUUCACUCUUGUCGCCCAGGCUGGAGUACAGUGGUGCUAUCUCGGCUCACUGCAACCUCCACCUCACGGGUUCAAGUGAUUCUACUGUGACGGCCUUCCAAGUAGGUGGGACCACAGGCAUGCGCCACCACGCCCGGCUAAUUUUUGUAUUUUUAGUAGAGACGAGGUUUUGCCAUGUUGGCCAGGCUGGUCUCAAACUCCUGACCUCAGGUGAUCCACCUGCCUCGGCCUCCCACAGUGCUGGGAUUACAGGCGUGAGCCAACGCGCCCGGCCUUGUUUUAUGUUUCAUACGAUUUAUUUU
rnacentral:lncRNA from 1 species